AUCCAGUUGACGAGUCCUAAAUAAGAUGAAACACGCGUCAAACUGGAU
rfam:Schistosoma margrebowiei strain Zambia genome assembly, scaffold: SMRZ_contig0000427